GCACAAGCGGAGGAACAUGUGGUUAAUUCGAUGAUACGCGAGGAACCUUACCUGGGCUUAAAUGUAGAGCGACAGAUCGGGAAACUGGUCCUUCUUCGGACGAUCUACAAGGUGCUGCAUGGUUGUCGUCAGCUCGUGCCGUGAGGUGUCGGGUUAAGUCCCAUAACGAGCGCAACCCUUAUCGUUAGUUGCCAGCGGGUAAUGCCGGGGACUCUAACGAAACUGCCGGUGUAAACCGUGAGGAAGGUGGGGAUGACGUCAAAUCAGCACGGCCCUUAUGUCCAGGGCGACACACGUGUUACAAUGGCCGGUACAGAGGGCAGCUACCUGGUGACAGGAUGCAAAUCUCCAAAACCGGUCUCAGUUCGGAUCGAAGUCUGCAACUCGACUUCGUGAAGCUGGAUUCGCUAGUAAUCGCGCAUCAGCCAUGGCGCGGUGAAUACGUUCCCGGGCCUU
rnacentral:rRNA from 1 species